rnacentral:lncRNA from 1 species
AGAUCAAGAACAAAUUUUAUGUUUUGAAAAGUCAAGAAGCUAGGAAUACCAUUUAGGUUUGGCAGUUAGAAAAAUUGAGUAUUAUUGAAUUAACUCUUAACCUUAGGUGGGUUGGUUUGGUUUACAAGUCAGCCCAAGUCCAAGCUGUCUCAAAGGCCGUGUAUGUGAAGCUCUGUUCAGCCCAAUCAUGGUAGUUAAAGAUGUGCCUUACGCGCUUAGGCCCAAGGUGCAGCAGCUCCCCAGCUGCCCCAGCUGUGGUGGCAGGGGUGCACCUAUCCAAAAGGACCCACCUCAUUUUAUUCAUUUUGGCAUUGUUUAGAUACACUUUCUCUUUUUCUUUUUUGAAAACAUAAAGGAGUAGUGACUCCUACAUAAAAUGAAGGGACUCUUAUACAAAAAGUAGAAACUUAUUUUAUGUUAAAAACUGUUAAAGUUUGUAGUAGUAAAAUUUUUUAGUACUUUUUUCUAAACUGUUUUUGAAAACUACUAUGGUAAGUCUACUAUUUGUAAAAGAGUUUCUGCUUUUUGAAUAGGAGUCACUACUCUCUUUUGUUUUUAAAGAUAGAAAAUAGGAAGUGUAUCUAAACAACAUGUUAAUUAUUUUUUUCACAUUUUUAUUCUUAGAUUCUUUUUUAUCGUUAUACUGUUUACUGAAAUCUUAUAUAAUUUGCAUUGCCUUUUGUUGGAUGCUUCUUUUUAAUGCUUGGAAUUUUGAAUCUUUUGUUGAUUAGACUGAAAUUUACAUCAUAUGUGGUGAUAUAUGAAUGUGUAAGAAAUGUUUGCAUGUCUAAAUUUACAAUAUUUUAUAAAAUUAACAUGCUCCUUAAGUUGUACCUCACUUUGUUCAAUUGUGUGGUUAGGGUUGUGCCUUGUGCUUAGGCUCCAUGAUACCUUUGUCACUGAGGUGGGUUUUGCACCUCCAGAACUAUAAGCCCAAGAUGUCUAACCCUAGUUUAAUGUAAGCUUAAUUUUCUGUACUUUGUUUGAAUCAGCCAAGUUAGGGUCAAGUUUCAGUUGUCUUGGUUAUCAUGCUCUAGUCCAGCAGUUCCAGGAAAGUUAUAAUAAAAAGUAAAAAUUAUAAAAACGACCUUAAACCAUUGGUACUAAUACUUAACAUGGAGACUCUCACCCCCAAAAUUAAGUACAGGGUAAAAUAAACAAAACACUUGUGAGCUAUAUGGGUAGUGAUACUUCCCUAUGGUCAUUUGUCAGUGCAUAUCUGUAGCAACUAAAAAUUUUCAAAAUUAUCUUGUAUUGAAGUUUUAAGGUGGUUGUUGGUUGGUGUCAAUAUAUCUAGUGACAAAAAGGUUUCAAAAAUUGUUUGUGCUUGGGACUAGAGUUGGGGUAAGAAAAUGGUUCCUUGAAUUUAGGGUAAUCAAUGCAGACUGGUAAUUCAUGCCCACAUCUGUUCUCAAAAUGCAGAUCUGCACUCUGAGCAGAAAAACAACACCCCAAG